UUGCACAAGAUUUAUACAAAAUUUUGCUAACAGGAAGGCAAGACAAAGCUUAGUUUAAUUUUUUUCCACAAGUUUUAAUCUAAAUUUGAAAUGCAAAGCAUUUGGACACUAAUUACAUUUUGUACAGUUGGUUGCAAAUGCGUUCCAACACUCUUUUGAUCAUUUUCGUGAGCAUAAAAAUGUUUGUUUACCAUUCGGCAAAAUGUUCAAGUUUGUAUGAUGCUUUUUAUGUUCGUUUUGUGUUUCGCAGUUCGCUCUUGGCAUAUGCUCUUGGUCGCUCACAUGGCAACAUGCGCUUUUGGUUCCUCAUAGUAAAAACACGUGCCAAAUGUUUGUAGAAUACGUUUUCUACAACUAUAUAGCUAAAACUAAUGCGUUUUGCCUUAGAAAUCUUCUGCACUGACAGCAGUGUGACAACACUUAACCUUAGAACUGUCAGAAUUGUUUUACUACUUUAUAGUGGCUCCCUCUCAGAAACAAAAAUAUGCCAAGGAACUAAGCAAUGCGGCCAGCCGUGUGAAGGGAAAGUCCCAGGCCCCUGAAAGUGUAUACAAAUUAUGUGUUCACUGGGAGGGGUGGGGCAAAGGGGGGAAAUGGCUAAAAUAGUUCGUGUGCUCCAGCUUAGAGGUCGCGUCAGUUGCAAAGAAAUCUGUAAAUUUAAAGGAAUCUGUCACACAUUUUGCUAAAAGUAAAGAAGGUUCACUUAAAAAUAAUCGACGUGCGCACACUUCUCUCUUUAAUUCUUUGAUUUAUCAACAGCCGAUUAUUUUGCUGUCGUUGUGGUUUUUGGCGACAUUUUGUUUUAAUGUGUUUUAAAGACUUCAGAAAACGAUUUAACGUGAUUUUUUGGAUGUUUUUGUGAUCAAACAUCUCUACUUUUAUAUGGAUCUUUUAUUUGAAUCUAGUGUAUAGUGUGAAUGACAGUGUUUUAAUGAAGGAUGAAUCAACUUAAGGCAAAUUAAGAUAUUAAUAUAAUCAUAUUACACCAAGAAGGAUCACACAAACUUAGGAGAUGAAGACCGUCCUUGGAGAUGAUAACGGUUCUUGGGAUGUAAUUGAAAAUCCCAUGAAGACGAGUUAAAUAUAAUGUGCAGUAAUUAAUAGGUAUAUCAUAAUAAUAAAUAAAUUUAUUGUAGUUGCGAAGCUAGUAUUUUGUGAAAGCAGGGAGUUUAGGACUUGCUAUGGUUCAAGGUUUUCAAAUUCGCCAUGUCCCUCUAUGUCUUAAUCUUUUAUGUUGUUUUACACAAUGUUAUAACGCCUAUGCCUGUUAAAAAAACAAGGUUUGUCCUUUUUGUGAUUGCUUAAUUUAGAAACUAAGCGAAAAAACGUAUUCUACAAGUAUCAUACAAGUUAAUCAAUAUUAAAGCCUACUAUUAUUAUAAAUUUAAAUGAUUACAUGGUAGUUUUAAUCAGUUAACUUCCAGUGAUAGUUAUGUAUAUCAGAUAUGUGGGUUUUUAUUUAAAAUAAUUUUAGCACACUUGUAAUUCUCUUGUGUUUGAGUAAUUUACUAAUAACUAUGAUGCAAUCGAGAUUACUUUUAAAAAAUUUCAAAACUUAUCAAGAACUUUGACAUCAAACUGUUAAAGUACGUGUUAGGGCCGCUUUUACAAACGUCCGUAAACCUUAUAACCGCGAAUAAAUUUCGAAAAAUAGUUGUUUAAAUUUAGCCUUAAGGGACUUAAAAAUUGGACUAUUGUCAAAGGUUACAAGCAAAAUUUUGAUAUUUUUUUGCUUUUCUGAACAGUCUGUAGACAAGUAAUCAAACCAACAAAACUGAUGUAUUUAUACAGACUGAUCCCGAAAUACUGUGUCUGUUAGCAAUCUGAAUUUAAAUUUUAAAGGAUACCAAUAGUGUACACUUUCAGGUAGCAAUUCAAUAAUUUAAUCUGAUGCCAACAUACUCAGUUUCUCUGGAUCAUUGUGUAUAUUUAGACAAUGUAUUUACAUAUAUUAUUACAUCUGAGUAUGUUUAUGAACAACAAUUCGAGUUAAAUUAAUUUUGCCUAUACAUUCCAGCACGUUAUUAUUUUUUUAAUAAAUUUUUAUUGGAAA